rnacentral:rRNA from 1 species
AGUGAACGCUGGCGGUAGGCCUAACACAUGCAAGUCGAACGGCAGCACAGUAAGAGCUUGCUCUUACGGGUGGCGAGUGGCGGACGGGUGAGGCAUACAUCGGAAUCUACUUUUUCGUGGAGGAUAACGUAGGGAAACUUACGCUACUACCGCAUACGACCUACGGGUGAAAGCAGGGGAUAUUCAGACCUUGCGCGAUUGAAUGAGCCGAUGUCGGAUUAGCUAGUUGGCGGGGUAAAGGCCCACCAAGGCGACGAUCCGUAGCUGGUCUGAGAGGAUGAUCAGCCACACUGGAACUGAGACACGGUCCAGACUCCUACGGGAGGCAGCAGUGGGGAAUAUUGGACAAUGGGCGCAAGCCUGAUCCAGCCAUACCGCGUGGGUGAAGAAGGCCUUCGGGUUGUAAAGCUCUUUUGUUGGGAAAGAAAAGCAGCAGGUUAAUACCCCGCUGUUCUGACGGUACCCAAAGAAUAAGCACCGGCUAACUUCGUG